GACGAACGCUGGCGGCGUGCCUAACACAUGCAAGUCGAGCGGGGACAAAGGAGUAGCAAUACGAAUUUGUUCUAGCGGCGGACGGGUGAGUAACGCGUGAGCAACCUGUCCCAGUCAGGGGGAUAACGAGCCGAAAGGCUCCCUAAUACCGCAUGAGACCACAGCAUCACAUGGUGCAGGGGUCAAAGGAGAAAUCCGGACUGGGGGUGGCUCGCGUCUGAUUAGCUAGUUGGUGAGGUAAAGGCCCACCAAGGCGACGAUCAGUAGCCGACCUGAGAGGGUGAUCGGCCACAUUGGAACUGAGACACGGUCCAAACUCCUACGGGAGGCAGCAGUGGGGAAUAUUGGGCAAUGGGGGAAACCCUGACCCAGCAACGCCGCGUGAAGGAAGAAGGUCUUCGGAUCGUAAACUUCUAUCCUUGGUGAAGAUAAUGACGGUAGCCGAGAAGGAAGCCCCGGCUAACUACGUGCCAGCAGCCGCGGUAAGCAUACUCGUA
rnacentral:rRNA from 1 species